UUUCUUUCUUCUUCCUCUAUUCACAUAUAUUUAUUUAGAGUGGUAGCCAUCUCUAUCCUUCCAUCUCACUUUCAGCCCCUCUUGUCUCCAUUCCUCCCGUCUCCAUUCCUCCCAUCUACAUCCCUUCUUGCCAUGCAAAACUUCUUCUUAACCUUCCUAUGGCGCAGUCUAAGGAGAAAGAAACACUCUCUGAGUUUCUUCAUCUCUUGGUCAAAUCAUCUUCAUCUCUUUCAAACUUCUUUUUGCUACUAUUGAUAUAGUUUCAAGCUCUGAUUUGUGGGUGAUAAGACAUCUGAUGUUGUUGAUAAGUUGAAGCUUCCAAAGAAAAAUAUUGUCAAGGUUUAUAAUUUGUUUUUUUUUUAUUUGUAUUGUUUGAAAUGUUCUCUGGCUAUAGUUCAUUCAUUUGAAAAAAAUAUAUAUAUUUUAUAGUAGCAAGUUGUUUUAUAGUUUGUUUAAUGUUGUUUUGAUGCUGUUUUACUUGCUACAAGACUUGAUUUUUAGUGAUGAUAAACUUCAAAAUUGAUCAGAAUGAAGUUAGUGGCAUACAUCAAAAGUGUACAAGAAAAUGUUCCAAAGUCUUUCAAGAAGGUUGGAGUUACUGUGCAUGAAUUAACGAUUGAGAAGGAAGUGUGUUUCGUUUUGGUUGUAUAUGUUGAAGAGCGACAUUUUUUUUUUUAAGAAACUUUACUUUUAUAUAUAUUUUUUAAAAUUUUCUCUAGUUAACUUUAUAUAUAUCUUGUACGAGAUAUUGAAUAUUAUAAUUUCUUUUUAAUUGUUUAUAUCUUUUACUACAUUAAGAAACAACAAUUAUUAUAUUUUUAAUUUAUACAUCAA